rnacentral:rRNA from 1 species
UACGUAGGCAGCGAGCGUUGUUCGGAAUUACUGGGCGUAAAGAGUGUGUAGGCGGUGUUCCCAGUCUGUUGUGAAAUCUCCCGGCUUAACUGGGAGGGUGCAGCGGAAACUAGAAUGCUAGAGGGUGGGAGAGGUAAGCGGAAUUCCGAGUGUAGAGGUGAAAUUCGUAGAUAUUCGGAAGAACACCAGUGGCGAAGGCGACUACCUGGUCUGGCAUUGACGCUCAUGUGCGAAAGCGUGGGGAGCAAACAGG